UGGGGAAUAUUGCACAAUGGGGGGAACCCUGAUGCGGCCAUGCCGCGUGAAUGAAGAAGGCCUUCGGGUUGUAAAGUUCUUUCGGUGACGAGGAAGGUUGGUAGGUUAAUAGCCUAUCAAAUUGACGUUAAUCACAGAAGAAGCACCGGCUAACUCCGUGCCAGCAGCCGCGGUAAUACGGGGGGUGCGAGCGUUAAUCGGAAUAACUGGGCGUAAAGGGCACGCAGGCGGUGACUUAAGUGAGAUGUGAAAGCCCCGAGCUUAACUUGGGAAUUGCAUUUCAUACUGGGUCGCUAGAGUACUUUAGGGAGGGGUAGAAUUCCACGUGUAGCGGUGAAAUGCGUAGAGAUGUGGAGGAAUACCGAAGGCGAAGGCAGCCCCUUGGGAAUGUACUGACGCUCAUGUGCGAAAGCGUGGGGAGCAAACAGGAUUAGAUACCCUGGUAGUCCACGCUGUAAACGAUGUCGAUUUGGGGAUUGGGCUUUGAGCUUGGUGCCCGUAGCUAACGUGAUAAAUCGACCGCCUGGGGAGUACGGCCGCAAGGUUA
rnacentral:rRNA from 1 species